UGCCUAUCAUGCAAGNUUGAGCGCUGNAAGGUUGGUACUUGUACCAACUGGNAUGAGCAGCGAACGGGUGNAGUAACGCGUGGGGAAUCUGCCUUUGAGCGGGGGACAACAUUUGGAAACGAAUGCUAAUACCGCAUAAAAACUUUAAACACAAGUUUUAAGUUUGAAAGAUGCAAUUGCAUCACUCAAAGAUGAUCCCGCGUUGUAUUAGCUAGUUGGUGAGGUAAAGGCUCACCAAGGCGAUGAUACAUAGCCGACCUGAGAGGGUGAUCGGCCACU
rnacentral:rRNA from 1 species